GGAGUGGCCUGGACGGUCGCGUCGGGUGCUUGCACCCGCCGAGGAAAGUCCGGGCUGCACAGGGCAAGGCGCCGGUUAACGGCCGGUGAGGGUGACCUCGAGGAAAGUGCCACAGAAAACAGACCGCCUUCUGCCUCUUCGGGGGCCGUCGGUAAGGGUGAAAAGGUGCGGUAAGAGCGCACCGCCCGAGCUGGUAACAGAUCGGGGCACGGUAAACCCCGCCUGCAGCAAGGCCAAAUAGGAGAGCGCUAAGCGUGGCCCACGUUUGCUCUCGGGUAGGCUGCUCGAGCCUGCCGGUAACGGCAGGCCUAGAUGAAUGACCGUCUCCUCCCUCGGGAGAGACAGAACCCGGCUUACAGGGCCACUCCGUAU
rnacentral:RNase_P_RNA from 1 species